rnacentral:lncRNA from 1 species
AUUUAUUUGAUUAUAUAUGUAUUGGUUUCUUGUAAACCGUGACUUGGUUAACCUUUUUGAAAUGUUAAAAUCAUUAAAAUACGAAUUAUCUAAUUGUUUUUAACCAGCAUUUAAUUUAGAGUUAUAAAAUGACAGGAUUGUCUCCUUUUGUUUGUGUUCUUGUUAAUUUUGAGACAAUUAACAUUUGUGUUGAAACAAGCAAACCAUCAUCAAUUAGAAAUGGGGUUUUGACAAAUCUGUUUCAGUAGAAAGUAGUAACUUCUUCGUAAUAAGGAAAAAGAAGUGAAUCAAACAGUCUAAUGAAAAACCUGAUGCAACAAAGUAAUUUAUAAUGCUGAUUGAACUAUUAAGAUUUAGACAUUUCCGUUGAAACAUUCGCGAACAUCCUAGUUUCAAAUAGGCCAACAGGCGGAAAUAUUUGGUAAAUAUAAGUUGUUUAUACUUUUGAUUUGAGGAAGAGGGGGAGGGAGAAGAAUUUAAUUCCAAACCAUGAGCUAAGAGCAUGACUUUUGAAUAUAACAAUCAAAUCAAUAAUACAAUAUAUUUAAUCAUUUGAAUAAUUCAAGAUUUAAACAAAAUUAAGUCAAACGUCACUACAUGUAUUGAAAAGUUCAAAUAUAGUUAUACAAAUGUAUUUCAUUUAACGAGACAUUUAAGCUCAUGAUAGUAUAAAGCACAAUGAAAGUUUAGUUCCUAUAAUAUAUACAAAUAUACACAAUCGUGUAUCAUGUAUUAUUUUUCUUGAUUGCAAUGAGAUUCUAUGAUUUCCCACUAAAAAUAUUCAAAAAAAGUAAGAUCGCGUAGAAAAAGAUAUAUUUCCUUGUAUUUUGUAUGUUUUUUUCUUUUCUUUUAAAGUCAAAGUUAUGUAUGAUAAGAAGAGUAAGUCACAUAUAUACUGUCGAAAACAAUUCGAUUCCUGGCCGAACUACAGUACUAUCAUAGGUUGUUUUAUAAAUAUUAGAUAUUUUAGGACCUCUUUCAAAUUUUGAAAUUGAAAGAAUUAGCAUUUUUCCCCAUUCUGAAAGACACCCAAAGACUAUUCAUCAUAAUAAAGACUUCAGUCUGAAUGUCCAAAUUCCAAAAUUGCCCCCUUCAUUGAAUCUUUGCCUUUGCAUGUCCCAUUUGGUCAUUUUGCUCUUCGCCUGUUUAGGACUUGGCUUUCAUCUUUUUUUGUUAGAGCGUUUCUGAUGAAAAUAAACCAGGAAAAGCGCCUAGAACAUUCAGUAGUACCGGAGGCGAGUAUUUCGAUAGCUAAAAAAUGUUGGGAAGAAUAUAACCGAAGUAACUAUUAAAGCAAAUAGACAAAAAAAUGCUGAAGUGAAAUUACCCUAUGAAAAUCGGCUAAAGACAAAUUACCCUACGAGUUGGUAGGAUUAUUUUGUUGUAAAAUUUAAAAAAAAAAUAGCGACCACUAUAUAUAUAUAUAGGCUGAAGAUACGGUAAGCAACUGAUAGUUUCUUUAUCAUAUAUAUUAUACAAUUGUUAGUACAUAAAAGUAAAAAUUUGGAAUUUGCUACGGGCA